rnacentral:rRNA from 1 species
AGUGAACGCUGGCGGUAGGCCUAACACAUGCAAGUCGAACGGCAGCACAGUAAGAGCUUGCUCUUACGGGUGGCGAGUGGCGGACGGGUGAGGAAUACAUCGGAAUCUACUUUUUCGUGGGGGAUAACGUAGGGAAACUUACGCUAAUACCGCAUACGACCUACGGGUGAAAGCAGGGGAUCUUCGGACCUUGCGCGAUUGAAUGAGCCGAUGUCGGAUUAGCUAGUUGGCGGGGUAAAGGCCCACCAAGGCGACGAUCCGUAGCUGGUCUGAGAGGAUGUUAGGCACCAUUGAAACUGGAACAGGGCCCGAAUCCCUAGGGGGGGAAGAGGUGGGAAUAUUUGGAAAAGGGGCGAAAGCCUGACCCGGCCAUACCGCGUGGGGAAAAAAGGCCUUCGGGUGGAAAAGCCCUUUUUUUGGGAAAAAAAAGAAGCGGGUUAAAACCCCCCUUUUUGGCGGGACCCAAAAAAAAAAGCACCGGCUAACUUGUG